rnacentral:lncRNA from 1 species
GUUGUGGAGUUAGGGGAGCUCCUUCCCCCACUUCCCCGGGACUGUCUAUUAGGUGGGAUCAUGCUACCCUGGCCGCCAUUGUUUCCCAGGGAGGUCAAGCAAGCUCCAGCUGUCCACAGCAGUAAGUGGCCUGAUGACUACUGGCUGGUGUCUCUUCCUGUCUACCUUUCCCACUCCCCUCCUAGUGUUUCCGGGGCCACCCAUCACCUCCCAAAUAAAUGACUUGCACUCAAAUCCUUGCCACAGGGUCAUCUUCAAGAAAAACCCUAAAAGUUAGUUAGAUUCUCAGCAGAUUCCUUCCAUGGGCUAAGUCCUAGGACACCCACAUUUAUUCUCCAAUGUGGAAUUAAAUUCAACAAAUAGCUCCCAGACAGAAGACUUAGAAGUCACAGUGACAGGGGCCAUCAGGGGAAAUACAGCCAUCUCAAAAAUAAAUAAAUAAAUAAAUAAAUACAUAAAUAAUAAAUAAAUAAAUAAACAUUGGAUUGGAUUGACAGGAGGUUUAGUGGAGUGAUAGAGGUAAAAAGCUCUUGGAAUGUGUUCAAGAGAGGAUCAGAAGAGAUAAUGUAGAAAUAAUAAAUUUAGAAAAUUAUUUGGGUAAGUUUUUCUACAAAGAGUAGAGAAAUGGGGCAAGUACUGCCUCAACAAAGCAUCAUACUUCUACUUUUAAAAUAGAAUGGAAUAUAACCCAAUUACCAUGACAAAAACUGGUCAUAGCCAUCCUAACACAACCAGACUAGAUGCAUGAAGUGUUGCAGCAAGGAAGGAAGCCAUAGGAUCAAAAGAAUUAACAGACAUCCUGACCUACACUGCAGUGGUAAAGAGCACAGACUCUGUGAGCAGAUGGCCAUGUUCGAAUCCCAGCUCCUGCACUCAUUAUCCCUGUGACCCUGGGAGAGUUACUUAGCUUCUCCAGGACCCCCCACUUCCUCACACAUCAAAAUAUAUAUAACAACAGAUUUGCAAUGAGUAUUGUAGGGGUGCUGGCACCCCACUCAACCCCCCUUGGCAUGCCUUCUCCCUGUGAACACUUAUGUCUUCUUACCCCAGGCUCCCUACCUGUCUUUGCAGGGACUUCCUGGCCACCAAGUCAUAUUCAACACAUGAGUGAGGCAGACCGGAGUGCU